rnacentral:lncRNA from 1 species
CAUCGUUGAAUAGUCCUUAGCACGGGUACUUCCUGUUUGAGUUUCUGCCUAUAGGAAGGGAGGAGCAAAAUGGAGUCGUGAUCAGACUUGCCGAACGGAGGACGGGGGAAGGCCUUGUGGGCAUCCCGGAAGUUCGAGUAACAGUGGUCGGGUGUUUUAACAGCGUGAGUACUACAGUCGAUGUGCUGAUAGAACUUCGGUAGCGUUUUCCUCAAAUUUGCUUUGUUAAAAUCUCCAGCUACAAUAAAUGCGGCCUUAGGAUAUGUGGUUUCCAGUUUGCAUAAAGUCCAGUGAAGUUCUUUGAGGGCCGUCCUGGUGUCGACUUGAGGGGGAAUAUGUACGGGUCUGACUUUAACCGAAGAGAAUUCUCUUGGGAGAGAUAUUUGUUCCUGUCUGCGCGAUGAACUGAGAACCCAACUGGCUGUACGGACUCAGACAGUAUAUCCCGAGAGAGCCAUGUUUCCGUGAAACAGAGUGUUACAAUCCCUAAUGACUCUCUGGAAGGAAAUCCUCGCCCUAAGUUCGUCAACUUUAUUAUCCAGACUGGAAGAGGUGGGUACUCGGAAGAGGAGGGUGGUGUGCGAUCCUCCUGAGUCGGAGUAGAAGACCACUCUGAGUACCUCUUUACCGCCAGCGGACAUGCAAGUUUCAUAUUACAGAGGGUGGGGAUACAGAGAGCUGUGAAAGCCUGUAUGCAGAUGAGGUCCCAAAACAAUUGCUGACAAUUGCCAUGUAGGGCACUGCCUCGUGGGGGAAUUCAAGUAUGUGUGAAAGCUAUCUGUGUCCUGCAUAACUUCAUGAUAGACAUGAGGACCAGGAGGGGACCUGCAGCUCGCCACCAUCUGCCAUAGGAGAGGUCUGCUGCUCUGCAGGAUGUUCCAAAGAUCGGGGCCAACAACACAGCUCGGGAGACAAUCCGUAUGCAGGAGAUCUUCACCUCCUACUUCUUCUAAGAGGGUGCUGUUCCCUGGCAACACCAUAGACUACACUAUGCACAACUCUUUUAAGAGCCAUCCACAUUGCAAUAAGAGUAUUCUUCCAUUUCCAAGCUAUGUCAACUACAGUUAUUCAAUUUCCAGUUUCUCUCCCUUUGAUUUCUACUUCUCAGGUGAGGGUGCUGUUCAGAAUAAGGGGGAUGUCUAUACAAAAACAACAGGCGCUUAAGAGUCACCCAUAUUGAAUGUAGAACAACUAGACACCCUACAACCCAAACCUACAGUACACACUCGUGUAUCAAUCUUAUUGAUGGAUUGUGUUGUGCAGUAAGUAGGCUCCCCUGUAUAACUGUGGCUCCUUCCACCUUCAAAGAAUAGGCAAGAGGACCAACCAUGGAGAAUAAUAAGACACUCAAUUAUUUAUAUUUAUGCAUCAACGCUAUUUGUUUGUCCUUGUGUGCCUCGUCUGUUUUUCAGUAUAAAGUACUCUGCAGCCACUCCGUGUGGGACACCAGGUUAUAUCAGCUGUGUCGGUGAACCCCUCCAGCUUGUGAACUGCCUGACACAGAGGGCACAGCAUGAUCAGAGGUGAAAGGUCACUUGGUCAGGUCAACAGGAAGUAUUAUUAAAGAGAUGUUUACAUUGAAAUACAGAUAGAGAUGUAGUAGUCCCAGAGUUAAUGAUCCAAGGUCAGUUUUGCAUUCAAUUCCUGAUGAUUAUGAUGACUGACAGUGUUGGGAUUAAAAUAACACAAGGCUUAAUCAUGCUCUUUCUCUCAUUUGCAGGUACUGUAUGUUUUGAUGUGAGAGAGGAUGCCAACUCCCAGUCCUGUCAUUGCCACCUCACGGGCCUACUGGGUGCCCAAGGCUGGUUAGGAAACACCGCUAGACACUUAUGUAAUUGUGUUGACCUGAGAGAAUAUGAAGUUUAGUAGCACUAUAAUUCAUUCAUCAUAUGCUAUCUUCCCUGCUCCUCAGUUCUUAACUCUUCCCCUUUGUCUUUUACACUCUCACACCUCUCUCCCAAACUUCUUUCUUCCUGUGUUUUUAUAAUUCAUACCAGAUGUGCAUUGAAGUACAGAUUGAACUUGUAUUUAUAUCAUAUUACAAUUAUAAUGUAUUAUGCAUGUACUUAUUUAUA